rnacentral:rRNA from 1 species
CCUACGGGAGGCAGCAGUGAGGAAUAUUGGUCAAUGGACGAGAGUCUGAACCAGCCAAGUAGCGUGAAGGAUGACUGCCCUAUGGGUUGUAAACUUCUUUUAUAUGGGAAUAAAAUGUUCCACGUGUGGGAUUUUGUAUGUACCAUAUGAAUAAGGAUCGGCUAACUACGUGCCAGCAGCCGCGGUAAUACGGAGGAUCCGAGCGUUAUACGGAUUUAGUGGGUUUAAAGGGAGCGUAGGUGGAUUGUUAAGUCAGUUGUGAAAGUUUGCGGCUUAACCGUAAAAUUUCAGUUGAAACUGGCAGUCUUGAGUACAGUAGAGGUGGGCGGAAUUCGUGGUGUAGCGGUGAAAGGCUUAGAUAUCGCGAAGAACUCCGAUUGCGAAGGCAGCUCACUGGACUGCAACUGACACUGAGGCUCGAAAGUGUGGGUAUCAAACAGGAUUAGAUACCCCUGUAGUC